ensembl:misc_RNA Metazoa_SRP Metazoan signal recognition particle RNA
GCCAGGCAUGGUGGUGUGUGCCUGUAAUCCCAGCCACUCAGGAGGCUGAGGCAGAAGGAUUGCUUGAGCCCAGGAGUUUGAGGCUGCAAAUGAGCUGCGAUUGCCACUGCAUUCCAGCCUGGGUGACAGAACAUGAUCCAGUCUUUAAAAAGAAAGGAAAAGUGGGAGCAGUGGCUCAUGCCUGUAAUCCCAGCAUUUAGGGAGGCCAAGGUGGUUGGAUCACCUGAGUUUGGGAGUUCUUGACCAGCCUGGCCAAUGUGGUGAAACCCUGUCUCU